AUUUAUAUAGUUUAAAUAAAACAUUACAUUUUCACUGUAAAAAUAAUAUUAUUUUAUUUAUAAAUA
rnacentral:tRNA from 3 species